rnacentral:misc_RNA from 1 species
GAAAUGCGAUAAGUAGUGUGAAUUGCAGAAUUCAGUGAAUCAUCGAAUCUUUGAACGCACAUUGCGCCCCUUGGUAUUCCAUGGGGCAUGCCUGUUCGAGCGUCAUUUGUACCCUCAAGCUCUGCUUGGUGUUGGGUGUUUGUCCCGUCUCCGCGCGUGGACUCGCCCCAAAGUGAUUGGCAGCCGGCGUACUGGUCCCGGAGCGCAGCACAUGUCGCGCAAACGAGUGCCUUGGUACGGCGGCGUCCAUAAGCCCCUCUCUCACGCUCUUGACCUCGGAUCAGGUAGGGUUACCCGCUGAACUUAAGC